rnacentral:lncRNA from 1 species
CUUUGGAGCAUCUCCUGUGUUGUCUGGAAAUUGGCAAUUUAUUUCACAGAAAUACAGGGAAAAAAUGGAGCGGAGACUGAAUAAAUGUCCGACUAGUGACCAGCCCAACUUGGGAUCCAUCCCAUGGACAGGCACCAAAUCCUGACACUGUUACCGAUGCUAUUGUGCUUGCAGACAGGAGCCUAGCAUGGCUGUCCCCUGAGAGGCUACACCGGCAGCUGACUGAGGCAGAUGCAGAUACAGCCAAGCACUAGACUGAGAUCUGGGAUCCCUGUGGAAGAAUUGAAGGAACUGAAUGGGAUGACAGCUCUAUAGGAAGCCCAACACUGUCAACUAACCUGGACCCCUGGUUGCUCCCAGAGAUUAAGCCACCAACCAAAGAAUAUACACAGACUGGUCUGAG